UUUCGUUCCAAGUCUUAAAAGAAGAGAGGAUCACUGAUAAUUCAAAUAUUUAAGAACUCUUUAAUAAGUUUUGCUCUCUUAUAAUAUAAUAAAUUCUUAUUUGUACUAGGCUUUCUUCUAUAGUCCUAUAUUACCUUGCACGCAACAAUGUUAUUAUAAUCAAAAACCUUGGAAACAUAUGUCAUAUGUUUGAGAAAGUUAAUAGGGCAAGAAAUGUAACAAGACAAAUGAAUAUCAAUUACUUUGUUAUAUUUUCUUUUGAGCAUUUUAUUUGUGUAUUGGUAAUAGUUGAAUUGAGUUUGUAUUGUUUGUUUUAAGCUAAUUUGUAUUUUCUUGCUAAAAAAUUGUAGUUGUGUUAAGCAUAUGACUUUACUGUAUUGACGUCUACUAUAUUAAAUAAAAAUCCUACCUUACUUUAGUAACUAUAUAACCAUUCCAUUUCACACGCUUACAAGUUACAGCUUUAUAGUGUCAUAUAUGUUAGUUCAUGUUUCUCAGAGACAACAUUUAUAUCCGACACUCAGCAGAUAGGAAAAUUAGGUGUGGCAUCAUAGCGGGGGCGAUCAUAUGCUACUUCAGAGUUCCAGAUUUACAUUAACAAAAUAAACCAACAGUAGGACCAAACUUCACAAUUACUCCACUUCCCUUCCUUGCUUCGAGGAGGUUAUAUAAUAGUAACAGAAGGAGACAGGUAUAGAAUAGAAGUCUCCGCUUAGUCCUGGCAUAACGGAGAGCAUUCAUCAUUUGAGGAUACUUCAUAAUAAAUUGUUGCAGUGGAGAUAUAUAAAUACCAGAGCUGAUUCAAUCCGUCACAACUCAGUAGACAAGCUCAGGUCAGUCGCGGAGUUAGAAAUUUUACUAAUUGUUUAUUUGGUUUUUCUCUUAGGCAAACUUAGUAUAUGCUUGGGAUUGUCUAAUGAAAAUGAGAAUCUGUGCUACAAAAGAAGUUGCAGCUACAGAGGAAAAACAUGGAAAUGAAAUUGAGUUUUGUUCUUUAUUCUCAAGUAAGAACUGAUUUACCCUUGAUGAAUAUCGGUCAGACAGUAACAAAAAUCAUCACAACAAUUAAAUAUAUGAUUUUUUCGCAAUGUAUUGUGCAAAUAAAGUUACUAGAAGCAUGGGGUUCUAUGGAAAAGCAGCAUUCUUCAGCAGUGUCAAGUUCCCUAGAUUGUUUACAAUCCGCAGUCUGUAGGGUUCCUCUCAUUGAAGGAGCCACGGUAAGUCCAUUGGCAAACCAGAAAAAAUCGUUAAGGUUGUUAAUGAUUUAAUAUACAUGUCUAAAAAGUAACUUUUGAUCUGUAUAUACUAAAAAAUAUUGUUUACUUUAUAAUUUUCCAUUAGAGAGUGUUUAACUAA